UUGUGGUUAAAAAGCUCGUAGUUGGAUCUCGGCAAACUGAGGGUGGUUUACUUGCUAGUACUACUGCCCUAUAGUUUGUAUUAUUGCUGGAGGUUUAGAGGUGAUCUUAAUCGAUUGUCUCUGGAUGCCAGCAGGUUUACUUUGAAAAAAUUAGAGUGCUCAAAGCAGGCUUAUACGCCUGAAUAUUCGUGCAUGGAAUAAUAGAAUAGGAACUUGUUCUUAUUUUGUUGGUUUUCGAGAAUCAAGUUAAUGAUUAAUAGGGACAGUUGGGGGCAUUUGUAUUCAAGCGAAAGAGGUGAAAUUCUUGGACCGUUUGAAGACAAACUACUGGGAAAGCAUUUGCCAAGAAUGUUUUCAUUAAUCAAGAACGAAAGUUAGAGGUUCGAAGGCGAUUAGAUACCGCCCUAGUUCUAACCAUAAACGAUGCCAGCUAGCGAUCUGCCUUCGUUUUCUUUGUAGACAAGGCAGGAAGCUUCCGGGAAACCAAAGCGUGUGGGUUCCAGGGGAAGUAUGGUUGCAAAGCUGAAACUUAAAGGAAUUGACGGAAGGGCACCACCAGGAGUGGAGCCUGUGGCUUAAUUUGACUCAACACGGGGAAAUCUCACCA
rnacentral:rRNA from 1 species